UUCUAUAUAUACCAAUCAAAUAGUCACUACAUAUUAAAUCAAAUGGUACUUAGAUGCUAUUAUAAUUAUUAAAAAUUAUAUCAAAUGUAUUCAGAUGAUCUAACACACCUCUCUUCUUGUUUUUAGGUUUAAUAUAAGGGAAUUUACUUCAUAAUUAAUAAUCUUACUUAUUAAAUAACUUAUUACCCCAAUAUAGGUGCGAAGAGCAUAAUAAUCUUUGUCAAGAUAUUGGAUAAUUUACCUAACUUUCACAUUUUUUUUAUAAAUAACAACUUGUUGAUAAUAUCUAAUGUAAGUAUCAAAUAUUCCAAUAUGAAAAAUAUGAUAAGUUAGUGGUGCAAGAGUAUUUGCUACAACAAGAAUUAUCAGCAAAAAUUUUGCAUUAACAUUAGUUUUGUUAUUUAUAAUGCUAAUAUACAGUAGCAAUAUAAGCAGUUAUCGCUAAUAGUACAUAAAAAAGAUAUG
rnacentral:misc_RNA from 1 species